CCUGGUAUUGAUCAUGACAAAAUUUAUCAAAAUUUACAGUCACCACAGAUGACACUGCCCCUGUCCAUUGUGCAUAGUCCUCCGAAGAGUUUGUACCUUGGAACAGAAUUAACAGAAUGAACUGGCCUGCACAGUGGUUUGACUUGAUUGAAUGUUAUAGAAAUGUUUGUUUAUUAUUAUUUUAACAAACAAAGAAAACUUCAAACACACACUGGGAUGAUUAAAUCUAAAAAUGAAUUGUCCCAAGAAAUCC
rnacentral:lncRNA from 1 species